UAGUGUUAACAAUUCUUUUAGAGUUUGCCUAGCAGCUUUUCCAGUCUUACCAGAAGACCCAA
rnacentral:snRNA from 1 species